rnacentral:lncRNA from 1 species
GCCUCCAAAAGUGCUGGGAUUACAGGCAUGAGCCACUGCACCCAGCCCGCCUUCCCAGUCUUUACAUAGAUGCUUAGGAUUCAAGGGGGUUUUCUUCUCAUUAGCAAGACUUAGGCACAAUCACUAUGCCUAGUACCAAAUCUCUACAUUCAGGAAAGAAGGUGCAACUUAGAAAUAUCAGUUCAUGAACCAUGGGUCAUCUCACUCUUUGGGAAAACACAGAGUCAAGCCAACUCUCUUGAUCUUCCAGGCAUACAAAACCUGCCUUGCCUCUCCCCAGUUUGAACAGUGCUUUUGAACUUUGAUGGAAAAGCCACAUUUGGAAGGUCAUACCACCCUUGACAAACUGCAGUCCCUACUGGCCAUUACACUGCAGAGCCGUGACAAUGAUGGAUCUCCUGUUUGGAAGAGAAUGACCCAGGACAAAAGGGGUGACCAAACCAUGGUCUAAGUGUGAUAUCUGAAGCUGCUUAAUCUGCAAAAGGAAACCCAGUCUGCAGCAUCCUCGGGAGACAGCUGGAUCAGCCAGAGAGCUUCAGAAAGACACACAUCACUCUGCCAGACACACACACUGCUCCAGCUCCAGCAUCCAACAUCUGACCACAUGUCGGCAGCCACUGCUGACCUGGCUCCACCAUUUCUCCCCAGGUCUAAGCUUAAGCCGCACUGCAUUGCUUCCAUUUCUUCAUGCUUGCUCUGUUCCCUUCUACCACAGGGGCUUUGUGCAAGCUCAGCCUCAACAUGGAUCUUCCCCCUUCUUCACCUGGUCAACAGCCACUCAUUCUUCAACCUUAGUUCGAGCAUCAUCAACCUCCCCCGCUAUGUCAGUUCUCCCUGUUAGACACCCUGGCUGUUCCACAUAUCUUUUAUUCAAAGUAGUUACAUAUUAAAGCAUUCCAUUUGUGCAUACAAUUAUUGUAGAAUUACUUCCCAGCAGACAGAUGCUAUAGGAGGGAAGAGACCUUUUCUGCUUAAGUAUCUAGUGCAGUGCCUGGCCCUUAAUAGGUGCUCAACAAAAAUUUUUAAAUGAAUGCUUAAAUACCAUAUCAUGGGUCAUGUCUGGUUGCAAAAAGAUAUUCAUCAUAAUAAAAAUAAUAAACUAUAAUUAAAAUAUACUCAUCAUCAUAAAAAUAAAUGAACUAGGCAGAUACUGGUGUUAAAGGUAUCACUGCCUUUAUUGUGGGCCAUUUUAGGAUGCAAGGCACAGUAGGGGUAAACAAUUAAGAGAGACUUCUGUAGUCUAGGAAUACAAGAGCUAGUAAAUAUAUAAUGUCUCCAGCAAGAGAAAGGAGGACAAGCAAGUCGGAGCAAGCUGCCCACUGGGGUGGGAGAAGGGAAUGAUAAAAGGGAGGAUUGGAAAUAUACACCAAAAUGCACCAUUCAUACAACGUUUCUAUUCACAACUCAGAAUUCACUGAACAAAAAAUGACCAUUCUGUAUACGAUUCCAAUUAAAUGCAUUAUUGUUGUAUCUGAUUGUGCUAGUGCCUGUCG